rnacentral:tRNA from 1 species
GGGGCUGUGACUCAGUGGAAGGGUCUCUGCUUUGGAUGCAGAAGGUUCCAGGUUCAAUCCCAGCCUUCUCCA